rnacentral:rRNA from 1 species
UACGGAGGGUGCAAGCGUUAAUCGGAAUUACUGGGCGUAAAGCGCACGCAGGCGGUCUGUCAAGUCGGAUGUGAAAUCCCCGGGCUCAACCUGGGAACUGCAUUCGAAACUGGCAGGCUAGAGUCUUGUAGAGGGGGGUAGAAUUCCAGGUGUAGCGGUGAAAUGCGUAGAGAUCUGGAGGAAUACCGGUGGCGAAGGCGGCCUCCUGGACAAAGACUGACGCUCAGGUGCGAAAGCGUGGGGAGCAAACAGG